UGCGGAAGAAAAUCAUAUGAAGGUUAUGAAUAUACUAAAUUCGAUAGUUGGAGAGGAUUAUAAUUGUAUAAACAAAAAAGAUGAUGGAGUUAAGACACCAGAAAAAGCAUCGAAAAUGCUAGAGCCUGAUGACAUUCGACCUUUUGGU